rnacentral:rRNA from 1 species
UACGGAGGGUGCAAGCGUUAUCCGGAUUCACUGGGUUUAAAGGGUGCGUAGGCGGGCAUUUAAGUCAGUGGUGAAAUACCUGAGCUUAACUUGGGAACUGCCAUUGAUACUAUUUGUCUUGAAUGUCGUGGAGGUUAGCGGAAUAUGUCAUGUAGCGGUGAAAUGCUUAGAUAUGACAUAGAACACCGAUUGCGAAGGCAGCUAGCUAAACGAUUAUUGACGCUGAGGCACGAAAGCGUGGGGAUCAAACAGG